CUUCGGGACUAGGGGUGAGGCUGAACGCUCGAUCCGAUCGGGUAGUAGGUAAGCGAUGGGGUGACGCAGGAAGGUAGUCCAGCCCAGGCGAUGGUUGUCCUGGGGUAAGCAUGUAGGGCGUGUCGUAGGUAAAUCCGCGGCAUUUAAGCCUGAGAUGUGAUGCCGAGCCGAUUGUGGUGAAGUGGAUGAUCCUAUGCUGCCGAGAAAAGCCUCUAGUGAGUGUUGUGGCGGCCCGUACCCUAAACCGACUCAGGUGGUCAGGUAGAGAAUACCAAGGCGAUCGGGUGAACUGUGGUUAAGGAACUCGGCAAAUUGCCCCCGUAACUUCGGGAGAAGGGGGACCUCUGUUGGUGAUGGGCUUUACGCCUGAGCUGGUGGGGGUCGCAGUGGCCAGGGGGGAGCGACUGUUUACUAAAAACACAGGUCCGUGCGAAGUCGUAAGACGAUGUAUACGGACUGACGCCUGCCCGGUGCCGGAACGUUAAGGGGACCGCUUAGCUGACGUGAGUUGGCGAAGGUGAGAACUUAAGCGCCGGUAAACGGCGGUGGUAACUAUAACCAUCCUAAGGUAGCGAAAUUCCUUGUCGGGUAAGUCCCGACCUGCACGAAUGGCGUAACACUUCCCCGCUGUCUCAACCGCAGACCCGGCGAAAUUGCACUACGAGUAAAGAUGCUCGUUUCGCGCAGCAGGACGGAAAGACCCCGGGACCUUCACUACAGCUUGACAUUGGCGUUUGGAACGUCUUGUGUAGGAUAGGUGGGAGACUGGGAAGCUGUCACGCUAGUGAUGGUGGAGUCAUUGGUGAAAUACCACUCUGGUCGUUUUGAACGUCUAACUCUGGUCCGUGAUCCGGAUCGGGGACAGUGUCUGGUGGGUAGUUUAACUGGGGCGGUUGCCUCCUAAAGAGUAACGGAGGCGCCCAAAGGUUCCCUCAGCCUGGUUGGCAAUCAGGUGUUGAGUGUAAGUGCACAAGGGAGCUUGACUGUGAGACUGACAGGUCGAGCAGGAGCGAAAGCUGGGACUAGUGAUCCGGCAUCGGCGUGUGGAAGCGGUGUCGCUCAACGGCUAAAAGGUACCCCGGGGAUAACAGGCUGAUCUUCCCCAAGAGUCCAUAUCGACGGGAUGGUUUGGCACCUCGAUGUCGGCUCGUCGCAUCCUGGGGCUGGAGUAGUCCCAAGGGUUGGGCUUUCGCCCAUUAAAGCGGUACGCGAGCUGGGUUUAGAACGUCGCGAGACAGUUCGGUCCCUAUCCGCUGCGCGCGCAGGAGACUUGAAGGGGGCUGUCCCUAGUACGAGAGGACCGGGACGGACGAACCUCUGGUGUGCCAGUUGUACCGCCAGGUGCACGGCUGGUUGGCUACGUUCGGAAGGGAUAACCGCUGAAAGCAUCUAAGCGGGAAGCUCGCCUUGAGAUGAGGUCUCCCACCACGAGAGUGGGUAAGGCUCCCGGUAGACGACCGGGUUGAUAGGCCGGAGGUGGAAGCACGGUAACGUGUGGAGCUGACCGGUACUAAUAGGCCGAGGACUUGACCAA
rnacentral:rRNA from 1 species